CAGGGCUCCAGGGAUGUUUUCCACAUCGGCUCCCACUGAAUCCGCCCCCUCCAGCUGUGGACAGGGUGACUGUCGGUCACACGUGACAAUGUGGGAGAGGGGGUUUCCACCCUCGUCCACGUCUGCUCUCUCUGUCCCCAAAGGAGCACGUGAGCACCAGUCUGCUUGGGACAGACUCCCGGACACUGAUGAGGACAUCUUCUCCAGAGUGCAGGGUCCCUGUGCCUACCAGAAGCAGCUCGUGUUACUGGAGCCUGGAAAACACAGCAGCAGGAGUCAUACAGGAAGGACACGACAGGGGACCCGGCAAGGUGAUGGGCUUUGCAAGUUUCAGGAAGAGCAGUUUCGGUUCAGACUUCAGAAGUGGGGGUGAUUCCCCAAGUAGGGAGGAACCCUGUGGCGACCAGAGCUGCAUCUCUGCAAUGACUAAGAUAGUCAGCAUCCUGGACUGGAGGGUUCAAGACAGGAGGCAGCUGCAGGUGCAGUGACAGCACCCACUGGGACAUGAGGAUGGAGAACCUGGCUACCCUCCAGGGGGUAGAAAUGGGGAGUGAAGAGCAGGAGCCUGGGACCUUCAGGGGAGCACUCAGUCCUGCUGCAGUGUCUCCUAGGAGCCGCACACCACUCAGGGCCGCAUGCCGGGUCUCUCCCUGACCCCUCCUGUCUCAUAGGGGAGACUUCUCUGACUGGGGGCCUUGAGUAAUGGGACUGUCUGCCUCUUGUUGAGUCUCUCUGGAGUCAUCCUGUCUGCAGGCACCAGGACUCUGCUGGCUCCUCCUAGCUCAGGAGCACAGGGACGGGGACCUGUGUGGGGGUGGGGUGAGGGGUGGUUGGUUGGAGCAGCCUGAGGCCAUGUGGAUAAGCCCAAUUCUAGGCUUCGGUAUUCGUGAUGCCUUUAUUGCCACACAUCCAAGCCACACUCCCCACUGCAGCUUUUGUCAGAAUAAAACUGGUAUUUUGAUCCCCAUCUGUCUCCCCUUUUUGCCUACCUCUCAGUUGGUUUGGAACUCAGGUAGGAAAAAGGGAUGCAAUUUGGGAGAGCCCCUCACUCCCUAAAGGGUUCAAGCAUAUGGGUAUAUGUCUCUCCUCAGGUUCUGACCUACCUGUGCCCAGAUGGGCAGAGGCUGGGGACAUAGCCCCCUGCAAUUGCAUAAUCAUGGCGCAAUUAUCCCCUGGGCUCAGCAGGCAUUGGUGAUAAUAUUUCAGCUUUUAGGGCCUGGGGCGAGACUGAGCCCAAGCCUGAUCUCCCUCUGCUGGUCCUCUGCUUGGCAGAGCUCAGGUGGUGGAGACUUUGAACACCUGAGGCUGCAGAUUUGGAGGAUGCCAGAGGGAUUGUUGGGGGUGCAAAUGUGAUUGUUUCAGUUGGGAGUGAAUCCUUGGAAAAUGAGAUGAAUGGGAAGAGCUGUCAUGGCAGAGGAGGAGGAGGCUAAAGGGUGAGGGCUUGUGGGGAGCAGGGAAGGGAAGGUGAGCACAGGAAGUCCUUCUGGGCACCUGCUGAGGGUCCAGGGACCAUCUGUGAGAAAAACCCUCCCCCCCCCCUGGAAGCCCAUAGUGCAGCAGGAGGAGGGUGGAGGCUGGCCAGGGCCACAUCCCGGUCCCACCUACAGGGUGCAUCAUCACCCACAGUCCUUCAGUUUAAGCCCCUGUGGCAGGAGUCCUCGAGCUUUUUAAACAGGGGCCAGUUCACUGUCCCUCAGACCAUUGGAGAGCCAUUGGAGAGUGCGGCGCACAUUCCACACAUGCGCACUGUGGGCCAAGGACAAGUCGGCUGCUAAGCAGGACAGGCAGCAGCGGCAAAACACCCAGGGGGCUGGAUAAAUGUCCUGGGGUGGGCCGCAUGUGGCUAGUGGGCCGUAGUUUGAGGACCCCUGCCUGUUGUAUGCACAACAGGACAAGACACCUAUCCCCUGUACCCUGGCGCAGACUCCUACGCCCACUGAUGCCAGUUCAUGUAUCUUUCCCAUGACCAGCCCAGCCAGCGAGGCUGGCUGCAGACACACUGUGUGCGCGCAAGGCAAGGAAGGGCCUGUGAUUCCGUCUCUCAUUUUAGCAGCCCGGUGUCCCUGUUCCCCCCGCCCCAAUACCGGCUUCUCUUCCCGGCUCAGCUCUGGCCGGGUCCACACUCCCCUCUAGUGGCCGUGACCGGCAUCACCGUCUUCUUCGAGCCGGCCUCUGAUGUCUGUUUCGGGACACAGAAACCGGAAGUGCUUCUAGUCCCUGGGUAGCAGCUGUCCAAAUGCAACUUCAAAAUCUACCGCUCUUGUUUGGAAGAACUGAGGAAGUGUCAGAUCAUAUACUCUCGCCAGCAGCUGCUGACCCCUCCGAGAGCUGCAGACGAUCGGCUUCGCGGAGAAGAGCGUGUCGAAAUGCAGCCUCCUCCCGCGUCAAACUUCAAGGAAGAGGCGGGGCCUCCGCGGCCAGGUGCUGAGGAAGCGCCCGCCUGGCUCAGGUGCGGCACGUCCCGGCCCCACCGUCACCACGGGCGGGCGGGCUCCUCCAGGCCCUGUGUCCGGCAGCGGACAAGCAGCUGGAAGAGAGAAAGAAGCUUUUGGCUUACGUUUCAUCCUGGACCUCCCCAUCCAGUGGUUUUCCACGGGAGGCCCAGAGCCGGUGCCUGACGCCACCUUCCUCGCGGCAGCUGCUGCUCAGGAAGUCCCCUCUGUAACUCGCUGCUCAGAUCUGCAAGCCAGAAGCCCGGGAGGCCAAGCUUUGUAACUCGCUGCUCUCAGAUCUGCAAGCCAGAAGCCCGGGAGGCCAAGCUUUGUAACCACUUCGGGGCCACGCUCACCUGCCCCGAAACCUCGCCCACAGCGGCACUCACAGUCCGCACGACAGUCUGUGCUGUGCAUUGAGGACAAACCCGUUUUGCUCUUGUGUGAUGAGGAGAGCUUUAAAGCACUGGAAGCUUGUUCUGCUUUACAGGCAGCUUUACUUGUAAAUCAGAAUAGGUAACAUAUACAUAUAUGUUUUCAUUACGUUAUUUUCAAAUGUUCACAAUUUUAUUUUGAUAAAUCAACAAUUAGAAAAGUCAUAUCAUAUAACCUUUUGUUAUAGAACUUUAUAAAUAUUAAAUUUUUUAAGGAAAUUUCUCUUGGUUUGAUUCUAAGUAUCUCUCCCAAAUGUCUUCAAUUUUAUUAAAAAGUAUUCACUUUAGCUGUCAGCUAAAGUCGCUGUGCGCGUUCACCUGUGGCUAUCGACUAUAGUCGAGUCUGGUCCCAAAGUGGUUAAAAGAAAUGUGGUAUAUUUACAUUAUUUUAAAAUGCAUAUUAGAAGACUAAUUAUAAGAAAGAUGUGUAUCACUUUACCAUUUUUAAAGGAUAAUUCAGAUUCUGUGUGUUUCUUUGUAAAGAAGGACCUAAGCUUGUUCAUUCCCAUCCCUCCCCUACUUGGACACGAUUUUUUUGUUUUUAAAAAAAGGAACAUUAAUGUAGAUAAUAUAGAAACAAAAGAAGGCCGGGCGCGGUGGCUCAUGCCUGUAAUACUAGCUCCCUGGGAGGUCAAGGCAGGUGGAUCGUUUGAGCUCAGGAGUUCAAAACCAGCCUGAGCAAGAGUGAGACCCCGUCUCUACUAUAAAUAGAAAGAAUUAAUUGGACAACUAAUAUAUAGA
ensembl:lincRNA